GAUGAACGCUGGCGGCGUGCCUAAUACAUGCACGUCGAGCGAAGCGGGGACGGGUGAGUAACACGUGGAUAACCUCCUAUAAGACUGGGAUAACUUCGGGCCCCGGAGCUAAACCGGAUACUUCUAGAUGGAUCCGCGCUGCAUUAGCUAGUUGGUAAGGUAACGGCUUACCAGGGCAACGAUGCAUGGCCGACCUGAGAGGGUGAUGGGCCACAAUGGAACGGAGACACGGUCCAGCCUCCUACGGGAGGCAGCAGUAGGGAAUCUUCCGCAAUGGGCGAAAGCCUGACGGGGCAACGCCGCGUGAGUGAUGAAGGUCUUCGGAUCGUAAAACUCGGUUAUGAGGGAAGCGGUACCUAAUCAGAAAGCCACGGCUAACUACGUGCCAGCAGCCGCGGUAAUUC
rnacentral:rRNA from 1 species